UACAGAGGUCUCAAGCGUUGUUCGGAUUCAUUGGGCGUAAAGGGUGCGUAGGCGGCGCGGUAAGUCGGGUGUGAAAUCUCGGAGCUUAACUCCGAAACUGCAUUCGAUACUGCCGUGCUUGAGGACUGGAGAGGAGACUGGAAUUUACGGUGUAGCGGUGAAAUGCGUAGAGAUCUGGAGGAACACCGAUGGCGAAGGCAGCCUUCUGGGCCAACACUGACGCUCAUGCACGAAAGCGUGGGGAGCAAACAGG
rnacentral:rRNA from 1 species